rnacentral:rRNA from 1 species
GCUUGUCUCAAAGAUUAAGCCAUGCACGUCUAAGUAUAAAUUGCUUAUACUAUGGAACUACGAAUGGCUCAUUAAAUCAUUAAUAGUAAAUUUGAUGGUACCUACCACUCGGAUAAGCGUAGUAAUUCUAGAGCUAAUACGUGCGUAAAUCCCGACUCAUGGAAGGGACGUAUUUUUUUGAUUUAAGGCCAACCGAGCUUGCUCGUCUCUUGGUGAAUUAUGAUAAUUUCACGAAUCGCAUGACCUCGCGCCGGCGACUUUUCAUUCAAAUUUCUGCCCUAUCAAUUGGCGAUGGUAGAAUAGAGGCCUACCAUGGUGUUAACGGGUGACGGGGGAUCAGGGUUCGAUUCCGGAGAGGCAGCUUGAGAAACGGCUACCACAUCCAAGGAAGGCAGCAGG